rnacentral:sRNA from 1 species
GGUUCUGGAAGAGAGAGCUGUUGUGAUCUGACGAACUUUAGAAAGUCACACUAAGACUACACACCCCAAGCCAGCAAGAAAAAGGAAAGCAGUUGCUAUGCUGUUCAGCAAAGCAAGACUUGGCUGCCUUUAGCUAGUCCUGAAUUCUUGCUCCUGUGAAGAAAAUUCCUGCUGGAGUGCUGGGCGCACUUGGAAUUGGUCUAGCAUGCUUGACAGACGCCUUAUAGCUCCUCAAACUAAAUACAUUAUUCCUGGGGGUUCGGCAGACUCCUACACUAGCCGUCCAUCCGAUUCCGAUGUAUCUCUGGAGGAGGACCGGGAGGCAGUGCGCAGAGAAGCGGAGCGGCAGGCCCAGGCACAGUUGGAAAAAGCAAAGACAAAGCCCGUUGCAUUUGCGGUUCGCACAAAUGUCAGCUACAGUGCGGCCCAUGAAGAUGAUGUUCCAGUGCCUGGCAUGGCCAUCUCAUUUGAAGCAAAAGAUUUUCUGCAUGUUAAGGAAGUAAGGAGAAUAAUGUCAUUUUCUAACAGCAUGAUGUUUUACCUUGACAUACCAUUUCUUAUUUCCUAUUCAUAUGCCGUUUCUGUGAAGUAGCAUUGCACAUCGCUGCAGUUGUGUAACAUACAUACUAAAUCCAUGGCUCUCAACCUCUGCUAAUAUAAAUAAACCUUUUAAAGUGGAAAGAAGUCACAGGCCUCUUGCAAUAACUUCAGCGCUCCCUGGGGCUCUGUGGCCCAGAAAUUGGGAACUGCUAGAGUAGAUGAUCCUUUUUUAUGCUUAACCUGUACUUCUUUUUUUUUUUUUAAUGUUUCACCUUGACUAGG